rnacentral:rRNA from 1 species
UACGUAGGGCGCAAGCGUUGUCCGGAAUUAUUGGGCGUAAAGAGCUCGUAGGCGGUCUGUCGCGUCGGCUGUGAAAGCCCGGGGCUCAACCCCGGGUCUGCAGUCGAUACGGGCAGGCUAGAGUGCGGUAGGGGAGACUGGAAUUCCUGGUGUAGCGGUGAAAUGCGCAGAUAUCAGGAGGAACACCGGUGGCGAAGGCGGGUCUCUGGGCCAAUACUGACGCUGAGGUGCGAAAGCGUGGGGAGCAAACAGG